rnacentral:rRNA from 1 species
UAACCUGCCUCAUACAGGGGAGUAACAGUUAGAAAUGACUGCUAAUACCGCAUAAGCGCACAGCAUCGCAUGAUGCCGUGUGAAAAACUCCGGUGGUAUGAGAUGGACCUGCGUCUGAUUAGCUAGUUGGUGAGGUAACGGCCCACCAAGGCGACGAUCAGUAGCCGACCUGAGAGGGUGACCGGCCACAUUGGGACUGAGACACGGCCCAA